CGGAGGGUGCGAGCGUUGUCCGGAAUCACUGGGCGUAAAGGGCGCGUAGGUGGCCUGUGGAAGUCUGCGGUGAAAGCCCGGCGCUCAACGCCGGGUCGGCCGUGGAUACUCUCGGGCUUGAGCUCACUAGAGGCAGAUGGAAUUCCGGGUGUAGCGGUGGAAUGCGUAGAGAUCCGGAAGAACACCGGUGGCGAAGGCGGUCUGCUGGGGUGAUGCUGACACUGAUGCGCGACAGCGUGGGGAGCAAACAGGAUUAGAUACCCUGGUAGUCCACGCCGUAAACGAUGGGCACUAGGUGCUUGGGGGAGCGACCCCCUGAGUGCCGUCGCUAACGCAUUAAGUGCCCCGCCUGGGGAGUACGGCCGCAAGGCUG
rnacentral:rRNA from 1 species